rnacentral:rRNA from 1 species
UACGUAGGGUGCAAGCGUUAAUCGGAAUUACUGGGCGUAAAGCGUGCGCAGGCGGUUCGCUAAGACAGAUGUGAAGUCCCCGGGCUUAACCUGGGAACUGCAUUUGUGACUGGCGGGCUAGAGUAUGGCAGAGGGGGGUAGAAUUCCACGUGUAGCAGUGAAAUGCGUAGAGAUGUGGAGGAACACCGAUGGCGAAGGCAGCCCCCUGGGCUAACACUGACGCUCAUGCACGAAAGCGUGGGGAGCAAACAGG